rnacentral:lncRNA from 1 species
GCUCCCAUAUGCCUUUCUCCACUCAUGCCUCAAAAGGAGAAACCAAGACCACUUUCUCCUCUGAGACAGGCAGAGACAUCAGCCUUUCUGGGCUUGCUGAAGAAGGGAGAAAAAAAACUACAAGAAGCUAUUGAACAUAUUGAUGAAGUAAAAAAUGAAAUAGAUUUAAUGAACUAGCCAGUGAGAAGAUUUUGACAGUAGAACAGAAAUAUAACAAACUCUGCCAACCAUUUUUUCAGAAGAGGUCAGAAUUGAUCCCCCAAAUCCCAAAUUUUGGGGUAACAGCAUUUGUCAUCUGUAAGUGUCUGCACUGCUUGGGGAAGAGGAAGAAGAGGCA